GUCCACGCCCUAAACGAUGAAUACUCGAUGUUAGCGAUAUACAGUUAGCGUCAAAGCGAAAGCGUUAAGUAUUCCACCUGGGGAGUACGCCCGCAAGGGUGAAACUCAAAGGAAUUGACGGGGCCCGCACAAGCGGAGGAGCAUGUGGUUUAAUUCGAUGAUACGCGAGGAACCUUACCCGGGCUUGAAAGUUACUGAAUGAUGCAGAGAUGCAUCAGUCCGCAAGGACAGGAAACUAGGUGCUGCAUGGCUGUCGU
rnacentral:rRNA from 1 species